UGUCUUUCUGGCAAAUGUGAGAUGCAGUGUAUGGAAUGUCAAAUUUCUAGUAUGAGAAAUUAACGAUUUAAGUCCUUCUUAAAUGAGGCCAUUUACCCAAAGAGGGUGCCAGGCCCGUAUAACGUUAAUGAUUACUAGAUGACAUUUCCAAAGAGUCGUGUUGCUUGAUAGUGCAGCACUAAGUGGGUGGUAAACUCCAUCUAAAACUAAAUAUAACCAUGAGACCGAUAGUAAACAAGUACCGUGAGGGAAAGUUGAAAAGAACUCUGAAUAGAGAGUUAAAUAGUACGUGAAACUGCUUAGAGGUUAAGCCCGAUGAACCUGAAUAUCCAUUAUGGAAAAUUCAUCAUUAUGAUUUUAAUGUUUAUAAUAUUAAAUUAAUGGUGUGCAUUUUUUCCAUAUAAGGACAUUGUAAUCUAUUAACAACAGAUUUAUUAAAAGAUCAUUGCUUUAGUUUAUUCAAAUUAUUUUGCUUGCAAUUUAACAUAGAAUAAAUGCUUUUGAUUUGAUAAAGUGUUGAUAGAUUUAUUGUAUAUAGUGCUUGAAUAUAAUUCUAUAUUCUAUAAUAGCGUAUUGAUCAAUGAUUUUUAUGCUCAUUAUAUGCACUUAUAUGAUUAACAAUGCGAAAGAUUCAGGAUACCUUCGGGACCCGUCUUGAAACACGGACCAAGGAGUCUAACAUAUUUGCAAGUUAUUGGGAAUUAAAAACCUAAUAGCGAAAUUAACAUAACUUAUAUAAUGGGAUUAGUUUUUAGAUCUAUUUAUAGUCUAUUAAUUCAAUCCCGGGGCGUUCUAUACAGUUAUGUAUAAUAGUAUUUAUAUUAUUUAUACCUCUAACUAGAGCGUACCUUGAGCAUAUAUGCUGUGACCCGAAAGAUGGUGAACUAUACUUGAUCAGGUUGAAGUCAGGGGAAACCCUGAUGGAAGACCGAAACAGUUCUGACGUGCAAAUCGAUUGUCAGAAUUGAGU
rnacentral:rRNA from 1 species